rnacentral:lncRNA from 1 species
GUCAUGUAAAAAUAAACGGGCACAGUAUCACAUCAACAUCCAUCCAUCUACAUUAUUGGUAAACCGCAGAUAAAAGGUAUUGCGAAUUUGUAAUAGCAUACGAAUAAUACAAUACUAGAUCUUAUACAAAUGGAGAUGGAUUUGAUCCAUAACUUUUGACAUGCCACAUCAGUGUUCUUGCAGUUUGUAAAGCAGCAUGUCAUGCUACGAAUUUGGUCCAAAUUCAUCUGUAAAGGAUCCAGAUCGUACAAAAUUAUUCCCCAGUUAUGACCAAUAGCCUAAUUCUCGAGAACACCGGAGACUGCC